GAGAGCUCUUGCUGAGGAGGCAG
rnacentral:piRNA from 1 species